UGAGUGCGAGCUGCUACGGCAGCGAAGUUGGUGAUGUCAUGCUUCCAAGAAAAGCCCUAUACCCGUUAAGGCAUCAUGGCCUGUACCCGAAACCGACACAGGUGGGGUGGUAGAGAAUACCGAGGGGCGCGAGGUAACUCUCUCUAAGGAACUCGGCAAAAUGGCCCCGUAACUUCGGGAGAAGGGGUGCCACCGCAAGGUGGUCGCAGUGAAGAGGCCCAGGCGACUGUUUACCAAAAACACAGGUCUCCGCUAAGUCGCAAGACGAUGUAUGGGGGCUGACGCCUGCCCAGUGCCGGAAGGUUAAGGAAGCUGGUCAGCGCAAGCGAAGCUAGCGACUGAAGCCCCGGUGAACGGCGGCCGUAACUAUAACGGUCCUAAGGUAGCGAAAUUCCUUGUCGGGUAAGUUCCGACCCGCACGAAAGGCGUAACGAUCUGGGCGCUGUCUCGGAGAGAGGCUCGGCGAAAUAGAAUUGUCUGUGAAGAUGCGGACUACGUGCACCCGGACAGAAAGACCCUAUGAAGCUUUACUGUAGCUUGGUAUUGUGCCCGGGCUCGCAAUGCGCAGGAUAGGUGGGAGGCUUUGAUCAUCGGCUUGCGGGUCGAUGUGAGCCAACGGUGAGAUACCACUCUUUGCGAGCUAGGGUUCUAACGGCCACCCGUCAUCCGGGGGCCGGACAGUACCUGGUGGGCAGUUUGACUGGGGCGGUCGCCUCCUAAAAGGUAACGGAGGCGCGCAAAGGUUUGCUCAGGCUGGUUGGAAAUCAGCCGACGAGUGUAAAAGCAGAAGCAAGCUUGACUGUGAGACCAACAAGUCGAACAGGGAGGAAACUCGGCUUUAGUGAUCCGACGGUUCUGAGUGGAAGGGCCGUCGCUCAACGGAUAAAAGUUACUCUAGGAUAACAGGCUGAUCUCCCCCAAGAGUUCACAUCGACGGGGAGGUUUGGCACCUCGAUGUCGGCUCAUCGCAACCUGGGGCUGAAGUCGGUCCCAAGGGUUGGGCUGUUCGCCCAUUAAAGCGGUACGCGAGCUGGGUUCAGAACGUCGUGAGACAGUUCGGUCCAUAUCCGGUGCACGCGCAGGAAUAUUGAGAGGAUUUCUCCCUAGUACGAGAGGACCGGGAGGAACGCACCUCUGGUGUACCAGUUAUCGUGCCAACGGUAAACGCUGGGUAGCCAUGUGCGGAGUGGAUAACCGCUGAAAGCAUCUAAGUGGGAAGCCCACCUCAAGAUGAGUAUUCCCAUGGCGUAAGCCAGUAAGGUCACGGGAAGAACACCCGUUGAUAGGCUCUAUGUGGAAGCGCAGUAAUGCGUGAAGCAGAGGAGUACUAAUAGACCGAGGGCUUGAC
rnacentral:rRNA from 1 species